rnacentral:rRNA from 1 species
GAAAUGCGAUAAGUAAUGUGAAUUGCAGAAUUCAGUGAAUCAUCGAAUCUUUGAACGCACCUUGCGCUCCUUGGUAUUCCGAGGAGCAUGCCUGUUUGAGUGUCAUGAAAUCUUCAACUURCAAGCUCUUUGCGGGGUUUGUAGGCUUGGACUUGGAGGCUUGUCGGCCUUUAAUGGUCGGCUCCUCUUAAAUGCAUUAGCUUGAUUUCCUUGCGGAUCGGCUGUCGGUGUGAUAAUGUCUACUCCGCGACCGUGAAGCGUUUGGCAAGCUUCUAAYCGUCUCGUUACGGAGACAGCUUUAUGACCUCUGACCUCAAAUCAGGUAGGACUACCCGCUGAACUUAA